rnacentral:rRNA from 2 species
GACGAACCGAGCGAACGUUGUUCGGAAUCACUGGGCUUAAAGGGCGCGUAGGCGGGCAUCAUAGUCUGUGGUGAAAUCCGGCAGCUUAACUGUCGAAUUGCCAUGGAUACUGGGUGUCUCGAGGGAGGCAGGGGUGCGCGGAACUGAUGGUGGAGCGGUGAAAUGCGUUGAUAUCAUCAGGAACUCCGGUGGCGAAGGCGGCGCACUGGUCCUUUUCUGACGCUGAGGCGCGAAAGCCAGGGGAGCAAACGGG